AAAACUUAAGAAAGAAUACUAAUUCUAUUAAUUU
rnacentral:tRNA from 1 species